ACUCAAAUGAAUAGACGGGGGCCCGCACAAGCGGUGGAGCAUGUGGUUCAAUUCGACGCAACGCGAAGAACCUUACCUGGGCUCGAAGCGCAGUGGACCGGGGUGGAAACAUCCCUUUCCGCAAGGACUGCUGCGGAGGUGCUGCAUGGCUGUCGUCAGCUCGUGUCGUGAGAUGUUGGGUUAAGUCCCGCAACGAGCGCAACCCUCAUCCCUAGUUGCUAACGGGUCAAGCCGAGCACUCUAGUGAAACUGCCUCCGAUAAGGGGGAGGAAGGUGGGGAUGACGUCAAGUCCUCAUGGCCUUUAUGUCCAGGGCUACACACGUGCUACAAUGCCCGGUACAAACCGUCGCAAACCCGCGAGGGGGAGCUAAUCGGAAAAAGCCGGGCUCAGUUCGGAUUGCAGUCUGCAACUCGACUGCAUGAAGCUGGAAUCGCUAGUAAUCGUGGAUCAGAACGCCACGGUGAAUACGUUCCCGGGCCUUGUACACACCGCCCGU
rnacentral:rRNA from 1 species